UCUCUCUCUCUCUCUCUCUCUCUCUCUCUCUCUCUCUCUCUCUCUCUCUCUGCGCAUGUGCGAGUGUGGAUGAGCGAGUUGAGCGUGGCUGUGGGAGCGAGUGUGCAGGUCACUGCUGGCAGCUGCUGUAUUGGGACUCACAGUGAAUCUUGAAGUCCUUGUACUGCCUGUCUUCAAUGGCCACCACAUAAAGAGCAGCCCUGUCUGGGAACAUCAGACCUCCAGGUUUCUGAAGAUGAAGAACACAGAAUGACCGUGUUCAACAUGGACUCAUAAAAAAGGCAGUAGCCCAUCCAUUCUGAGAUGAUAAUGUCCACCUGAUCUACCGGCAGCUCAGUUUCUUCCACUUUCCCUUUAAAGAUGGUUAUAACUGGAACACACAGACAAAUAAGGCCAUGGAGAUGCUUGACAGAUCCUUUCUACUCUUUGAAUUUUUAAGUUUUCGACUGUCCCCAACACACCUUCACAGCACACCUCAUACUAAAAGACUCGACGAGCUGCUGACUUCUCCAAGUGAUGCUCCAUGACGAGCGCGAGGGAACGUAAAAUUACAGUAACUGAAUGGGGAUGAUGGUAGAAGAACUGGAUGAAGCACAGACCUCUUGAUGAACACGGCGAGGCCGAGAGCCUUGGGAACGGAGCGGACUGGUCUGGAGUCUCACGGAAGGAGAUCCGGCAGGAUAAAUGGAGGAGUAAAUACAGUGCAAGACGUGAGAGGACCAG